GACGAACGCUGGCGGCGUGCCUAAUACAUGCAAGUAGAACGCUGAAGAGAGGAGCUUGCUCUUCUUGGAUGAGUUGCGAACGGGUGAGUAACGCGUAGGUAACCUGCCUGGUAGCGGGGGAUAACUAUUGGAAACGAUAGCUAAUACCGCAUAAAAUGGAUUAUCGCAUGAUAAUCCAUUGAAAGGUGCAAAUGCAUCACUACCAGAUGGACCUGCGUUGUAUUAGCUAGUUGGUGGGGUAACGGCUCACCAAGGCGACGAUACAUAGCCGACCUGAGAGGGUGAUCGGCCACACUGGGGCGGAGACACGGCCCAGAAUCCUACGGGAGGCAGCAGUAGGGAAUCUGCGGCAAUGGACGGAAGGCUGACCGAGCAACGCCGCGUGAGUGAAGAAGGUUGUCGGAUCGUAAAGCUCUGUUGUAAGAGAAGAACGAGUGUGAGAGUGGAAAGUUCACACUGUGACGGUAUCUUACCAGAAAGGGACGGCUAACUACGUG
rnacentral:rRNA from 1 species